AGAAGUGUACUUUCAGGAAGCAGAGGUAGGGGAAAGAUGAGUGAAGGGAGAAGGAAGAUUAAGUCAGUUCGAGGGUGCAUUUUGAAGCUGGCCACCUUUGGUGCAAGUACAGUUGGUUGCUUGUUCCCCUAAAGCUGUUUUCCAGGAGGAUGUAUGAAUAACUGCACCAGGGCAAUCCAUCUGAAGGAAGGAUGGACGGACCCCUCAGCUUCUGUGUCUCAUUGGAAAAAGAGGUCAACCAGAGUCAAGAUGUCUGGGACUGAGGAAGCAGUUCUCAGAGGACAUGAAAGCCAUCCUGCUGCUGGCAGCGGUGCGGUGUUAUGCUUUGGACAGUGCCAGUACACAGUGGAAGAGUACCAGGCCAUCCAGAAGGCCCUGAGGCAGAGGCUGGGCCCAGAAUACAUAAGUAGCCGCAUGGCUGGAGGAGGCCAGAAGGUGUGUUACAUUGAGGGUCAUCGAGUGAUUAAUCUGGCCAAUGAGAUGUUUGGUUACAAUGGCUGGGCACACUCCAUCACGCAGCAGAAUGUGGAUUUUGUUGACCUCAACAAUGGCAAGUUCUACGUGGGAGUCUGUGCGUUUGUGAGGGUCCAGUUGAAGGAUGGUUCCUAUCACGAAGAUGUUGGUUAUGGUGUUAGUGAGGGCCUCAAGUCCAAGGCCUUAUCUCUGGAGAAGGCAAGGAAGGAGGCGGUGACAGAUGGGCUGAAGCGAGCCCUCAGGAGUUUUGGAAACGCACUUGGAAACUGUGUUCUGGACAAAGACUACCUGAGGUCCCUAAAUAAGCUUCCACGCCAGUUGCCUCUUGAAGUGGAUUUAACUAAAGCGAAGAGACAAGAUUUUGAGCCGUCUGUGGAAGAGGCAAGAUAUAGCAGCUGCCGACCGAGCAUGGCCCUGGGACACCCACAGCCACAGGAGGUGACCUCCCCUUCCAGACCAAGCCAUGUUGUGAUACAGGGGGACAAGGACUGCAGCUCCCGAAGCCUGACUUCAUCCACCGUGGAGAGCGAGGCCACGUACCAGCGGAAGCUCCGGCAAAAGCAGCUGCAGCAGCAGUUCCGGGAGCGGAUGGAGAAACAGCACGUUCACGUCUCCACGCCGUCAGUUGAGAAGAGUGAGGCAGCGCCUCCGGCCCCUCCUCUGACGCACAGCACUCCUGUAACUACCGUCUCAGAACCACUCCUGGAGAAAGACUUCCUUGCAGGAGUGACUCAAGAAUUAAUCAGUAAAUACCUUGAAAUGCUUAGACUCUUGAAGACAACUCUGAAAAGUGGGCUGUAACUCCAGAUGCAGGGGAUGGUGUGGUCAAGCCCUUGUCUAGAGCAGACCCAGCCCAGACCGCUGACACACUAGCCUUGAACCACCAGGUGGUGACCCAGAACAAGACUCCACACAGCCUUUGCCACCAGAAACCACAAGCAAAAUCUGGAUCUUGGGACCUCCAGACUUACAGCACUGACCAACGCGGAACAGGAAACUGGGAAUCUCAUAGGAAGAGCCAGGACAUGAAGAAAAGGAAAUACGAUCCGUCUUAACUGAGGCGCAGGCCACGUGACUGGACUCUGUCACAAAGGGACUUUGGAAAACUGCUUUUUCGUCAUGAAAUUGUUCAUCUCUCCUGGAGAAUGAACUUGAUUGCGAUUUAUCUUGCUUCAUUCUGAACCUUACCAAGAGGAUCUGAGAGCACAAUGCAGUCAGAGCUGAGCACUUUUGGAAAGCUGGUCUGCCACUCUGGUAGGGAGAGGCUCGGGACAGAUGAAAUAGCUUUUCUUUGGCUUGUGAGGCUUCCCACUAUUUAUUACUAAACUAUUAUGUUAAUACAGAUGGACAUUUUAGGAAUCACCAAUGGCUCCCUGCCCUCAAGCAAUAUAGGCCAGACUUGCUUCUAAGCACCUGCCUCAGCAAUUGCCUACAUUCAGUUGUUUUGCAUAACAUCUGCCUUCUUUCCUUUAGGGUCCAUGCCUUUAACGUUGUCCAUAUUACACACUGUCGAUCACAGCAGGAAAAAGGUUGGAGUAGUGCUUUUACUACUUUGUAUCAAUCCAGGUUAGUCUUCAUUUAAUAUAAACUCUAAUUUAUGGGUUUACGACAUUACAAUCCUGCAUUCUUUCAAGACUUCAAGACUGACAUUUUUUUCCUAAGGAAGGAAAUAAUCAUCUAAGACUUAAAAAAAAGGCUUUUUUGUUUGUUUUUGAGACAGAGUCUUGCUGUGUUGCCCGGACUGGAGUUCAGUGGUGCAAACACAGCUCAACCUGCUGGGCUCAAGUGAUCCUCCCACCUCUGCCUUACAAAAUACGGGGAUUACUGGUGUGAGCCACUGUGGCCAGAAAAGGCAUUUUUGAGAAAGCAAAUCGUAUACCUUAUAACAAAAUAGAAUAUAUAUAUAUAUUGCAUAGCCCCUUACCUGAAAUGCUUGAAACCAGAAUUGUGCAUUUUUUGAAUAUUUGUAUAUACAUAGUGAGACCUUGGGGAUGGGACUUCACCUGUGUUUCAUAUAUGUACCUCAUACACAUAAUUUUUCCAUGAAACAAAGCUUAUGUAUAAGAGAUACUGCAGCUGAAGGGGACUGGGUCUUUUUUUUCCUCUUAGGGUCACUGAAUAAGCUUGUAUGCCUGGUGCUUUGCGACUUGUCACACGAGGUCAUGUGUGGAGUUUUCUAUUUCUGGCAUCAUGUCAGUGCUCAGAAAUUUUCGGAUCUCGGAGCAUUUCAAUUAGGGGGAUACUCAAACACAACCGUUUCUACUUGCUCAUUUCAGAUGUGAGAUGUAACCCACCUUGACCAUAAAUUGGCUUUUCAUAAUAGUGUUCAGAUGUUUCAUAAUUCUUCCCCCCAAAUAAGUUUGCAAUUUUAUUUUCUUUUUUUCGCGAGGGUGUCUGGCUCUGUAGCCCAGGCUGGAGUGCAGUGGCGCGAUCUUAGCUCGUUGCAACCUCCGCCUGCCGGGAUUCAAGUGAUUCUCCCGCCUUAGGUUCCCGCGUAGCUGGGAUUACAGGCGCCCACCAAGACGCCCGGGUAAUUUUUGUAUUUCUGGUAGAGGAGACGGGGUUUCUCCAUGUUGACUAGGCUGGUCUCAAACUCCUGACCUCAAGUGAUCUGCCUGCCUCGGCCUCCCAAAGCGCUGGACUCACAGGCAUGAGUCACCGCAUUCAGCCACUUUAAUUUUUUUUAGAUCUAUUUUGGGGCUUGGCUGUGCCUAAUCUUGAAGCAGUGACUUCUUAUUUUUUGGCUCACAGACCCAUUUGGGAAGCUGUGAACCUGAGAUAAGGAAGUCUGAAAGUACUAGCCGGCAGCCGACCAUUUCUCUUCCUUUGGAAGAUGAAGAGGCAGCAAAAGAGCUCCCAGGAAUUAGGAAUCCAGUUAUAAAUUGCACUUAACUCAAAAUAGUGCCAAUGAGAAUGUGAAGGAAUUUUCUGGAAAUGAAACCCCACAGCUCAACAAAAGCAAGUUUGGUUUAUUUGAAUGGUUUCAUUAAAUAAGUCUACAAAGGUAACAAACUGAAGCACAAAGCGCAAUCUUACAAGAAGCGCAACACCCAGAGUUAGUGCAAAAUGUACAGUUAACGGCUGCUGAGAAACCCCCGAAGUUUGAGUUUUUAUUUUUAAACAGUGUACAUUGUUAAAUAAUGUAAGGAAAACAUUUCUAAUUCAGAAAGUUUUUAAUGUGGAAAAAGAUACUCAAAGUGUACUAUUAACACAAAAAUAAUUUAAACAGUUCAGUAGCACUAGUUCAUUCCUCUAGGCUUCAGUUAUUUCAUCCACAGGAGGAUGAAAUCAACAGUAAAUAAAACCAGUUCUGACUUUUUGUGCAUGAGUGAAAAGAUGUCAAAAUUAUUAAACCCAAAGAACAAAUGAGAAUGUGCCGCAUCAGGCUCCCUGCGCCUCUGUAUAAAGGAUGUUUCACUCAGGCGGCCCCUUUCUCAGCCACUCAGCCCCUGCUUGGUUCUAUCCUUACUCGCUCC